rnacentral:rRNA from 1 species
UGCCGGAAUCAUCGGGGACCAUCCCGAAAGGCUAAACACUACUCUGUGACCGAUAGCGAACCAGUACCGUGAGGGAAAGGUGAAAAGAACCCCGGGAGGGGAGUGAAAGAGAACCUGAAACCGCAUGCCCACAAGAAGUCAGAGCCCGUCAAAGGGUGAUGGCGUGCCUUUUGUAGAAUGAGCCGGCGAGUCACGAUCAGCAGGCGAGGUUAAGCAGGAGAUGCGGAGCCGCAGCGAAAGCGAGUCUUAACAGGGCGACAUAGUCUGAGGUCGUGGACCCGAAACCGGGUGAUCUAGCCAUGAGCAGGUUGAAGUCGGGGUGAGACCCGAUGGAGGACCGAACCGACCCCCGUUGAAACGUUGGCGGAUGACUUGUGGCUAGGGGUGAAAUUCCAAUCGAACCCGGAGAUAGCUGGUUCUCCCCGAAAUAGCUUUAGGGCUAGCGUCGCAGCGAGAGAGCCGUGAAGGUAGAGCACUGAAUAUGCGAUGGCCGCAUCCCGCGGUACUGAGCAUAAUCAAACUCCGAAUGUCACGGUGUCAUCUGCGGCAGUCAGACGGCGAGUGAUAAGGUCCGUCGUCAAGAGGGAAACAGCCCAGACCAUCAGCUAAGGUCCCAAAGUGCAUGCUAAGUGGAAAAGGAAGUGGAGACGUGCAGACAACUAGGAGGUUGGCUCAGAAGCAGCCAUCCUUCAAAGAGUGCGUAACAGCUCACUAGUCGAAUGACUCUGCGCCGAUAAUUUACCGGGGCUAAGCAUGACACCGAAGCUAUGGACAGGAAUGUGGUAGGGGAGCAUUGCAUGCAGCGGAGAAGCAUGACCGAGAGGGCAUGUGGAGCGCAUGGAAGAGAGAAUGCCGGCGUGAGUAGCGGCACGUGGGUGAGAAUCCCACGCACCGAUGGCCCAAGGUCUCCAGAGGAAGGCUCGUCCUCUCUGGGAUAGUCGGGACCUAAGGCGAGGCCGAGAGGCGUAGCCGAUGGACGACGGGUGGAUAUUCCCGUACCCGAUGUGUGGCGAUGGAGUGACGGAGAAGGCUCAGGCAACCAGCUGCUGGAAUAGCUGGGGCAAGCGAGAUACCUGCGCACCAGGGAAAUCCGGUGCGCGCAAGGGGAAGGCGCGAAGCAUACGGAAAGCUGCGGCAAGUACGGAAAAGCUGAGAGCAGGCUUCCAGGAAAAGCUUCUAGCACAACACGCAUCGGCCCGUACCGAAAAUGGACACACAUGGGCAAGGAGAGAAUCCUGAGGUGAGCGAGAGAACUAUAGCUAAGGAACUCUGCAAAAUGACCCCGUAACUUAGGGAGAAGGAGUGCUCAUAGAGAUAUGAGCCCCAGUGAAACGGCCCAAGCGACUGUUUACCAAAAACACAGCUCUCUGCGAAGGCGCAAGCCGAAGUAUAGGGGGUGACGCCUGCCCGGUGCUGGAAGGUCAAGGGGAGCUGUCAGCGCAAGCGAAGCAGCGAGCCGAAGCCCCAGUAAACGGCGGCCGUAACUAUAACGGUCCUAAGGUAGCGAAAUUCCUUGUCGGGCAAGUUCCGACCCGCACGAAAGGCGUAACGAUUUGGGCGCUGUCUCAGCUGUAGACUCGGUGAAGUCUUAGUACCUGUGAAGAUGCAGGUUGCCCGCGACUAGACGGAAAGACCCCAUGGAGCUUCACUGCAGGUUGACAUUGGGCUUGGAUGCAUGAUGUACAGGAUAGGUGGGAGGCUGUGAGCCGUGCGCGCCAGCGUACGGGGAGCCGCUGUUGGGAUACCACCCUUCAUGCAUCUAGGUCCUAACCGGAGGCAACGGGCCACGGGACAGUGUCAGUCGGGCAGUUUGACUGGGGCGGUCGCCUCCCAAAGAGUAACGGAGGCGCCCAAAGAUACCCUCAGCAUGGAUGGAAACCAUGCAUAGAGUGCAAAGGCAUAAGGGUGUCUGACUGCGAGACAUACAGGUCGAGCAGGGACGAAAGUCGGGCUUAGUGAUCCGGCGGAUCCGAAUGGAAGGGCCGUCGCUCAACGGAUAAAAGCUACCCUGGGGAUAACAGGCUGAUCUCCCCCAAGAGUUCACAUCGACGGGGAGGUUUGGCACCUCGAUGUCGGCUCAUCGCAUCCUGGGGCUGAAGUAGGUCCCAAGGGUUGGGCUGUUCGCCCAUUAA